rnacentral:sRNA from 17 species
GUUGGAAUCGUGUGCUGCACAAUAUUAAAAUAGUAAAGAAACCCCCUGCUCCUUACCUGUUCGGGGGUUUUACUUU